CUGUGUAUGAUAAGAGGUUGAUACAAGGAUACACAUUUGAGGUAUCUUGAUAUACUUACUUCCGUCAAUAUGGUGAGGAAACAGAAGAUACCAAGUAAUAAUGUUAUUUUUUUCUUUUUUCCCGAAUUUCACUUUUCCUUUAUUUUCCCUGUCUCUAUCUCUUUAAUCUAUUCCUUUCCACCGCUCACUGUCCGUUCAUUCAUAUCCUUCACAAACACAAAAUAUUUAUCCCACCCUUUCAUCUUCAACACAUUCCUCUUCAUAUCUUCACUUCCCUCCAAUCCUCUCUUUCUUCUCUUCAAUUUCCACUUUCAUUCAUUCAUUCUUCCUCUUCCUUUACUCUCUACUCCUUUUCACCUCUCCUCUCCCUACCAUUUCUCUCCUUCCCCCUAAACUCUACUCCUCCCUUCCAAUCUUCCCUUCACAGGUAUACCAUUCAUCGAGCCUCCAGUCAUCACGCAAGAACAGAAGCUUACAGUGGAUUUCCCGUGCCAAUUACAACUGUCCAUGUAUCCAUUCGGCAGGCACAUGUGUAACCUCACCAUUUUAGUAUCAGGUGCAAUAUGGGUAAAUCUCAAGGACGGAGAUUACCGGAAUAUCAAGUACCUUAAUGGGGACCUCUUUGAUUUCCAUCUUGAGAAGAUAACAGCAGAGACACGCCCUAUAUUAUAUGACAUGCCUUCUAAUCCAGGGCGUGUGUCCUUAACCCUUCACCUGGUGGCCCAACCUAGUUACCACGUCAUAAAUAGCUUCUUACCAAGCUCCCUCAUGUUUCUGAUCUGCUACUUGUCUCUUUUCUUCCCCACCGCGUGUUUCAACGAGCGAAUAAUGGUUUCCCUGACAGCCCUCCUUGUCCUCGUCACCCUCUUCUCUCAGGCGACGAACACCUAUGUCAGAACACCGUACUAUAAGUUAAUUGACGUGUGGUACGUCGUGUUGAUGGUCCUCUGCUUUAUUGUUGUGGUUGCUAAUGCGGUUGUCAAUUCUCUGAGGGUCGCAAAGGUACAGUCACAAACUGACCUCAUGAAAAAGGUGUUGGCUGCCAAAAGGUACAACACUACCUUCCAGGUGUUCCUCGCCGCCUGUUUUGUGGCACUGGUAAUGGCAUUUGUCUUGUUCAGCCAAGACAUCCUGUAGCUGUGUGUGUGUGUGUGUGUGUGUGUGUGUGUGUGUGUGUGUGUGUGUGUGUGCCAAUGUAGCAUUAAGGCCACCAAACUACCACACUGUUAGCAUUAAGGCCACCAAACUACCACACUGUUAGCAUUAAGGUCACCAAACUACCACACUGUUAGCAUUAAGGCCACCAAACUACCACACUGUUAGCAUUAAGGUCACCAAACUACCACACUGUUAGCAUUAAGGUCACCAAACUACCACACUGUUAGCAUUAAGGUCACCAAACUACCACACUGUUAGCAUUAAGGCCACCAAACUACCACACUGUUAGCAUUAAGGUCACCAAACUACCACACUGUUAGCAUUAAGGCCACCAAACUACCACACUGUUAGCAUUAAGGUCACCAAACUACCACACUGUUAGCAUUAAGGCCACCAAACUACCACACUGUUAGCAUUAAGGCCACCAAACUACCACACUGUUAGCAUUAAGGCCACCAAACUACCACACUGUUAGCAUUAAGGCCACCAAACUACCACACUGUUAGCAUUAAGGCCACCAAACUACCACACUACUAGGAGCUUAGUACCAAUGCCACAGGGGGACACAGGAGGGACCUAAACACUCCAACAUUCUCGUCAGAUGAGAACACAAAGGAAGAGUCUGCCGUCCACCUUUCCCUGCCUGAAUUCAGUGAGCAGGUGAAGGUUCUCCCCGAUACCUUGUGCCUCACCUUCCGUGCCCGUCUGUUUACUAGCAUGAUAAUUGUUACGUAAGAUCACUAUAGUUAGUAUGUAGCUGUUGUCUUACUCCCUUUCCUCAUGCUGGCUCUACUGCCCUGGUGAUGUAAUAUUAUCUACGAAUAAAGAAUUAAGACGUGUU